GCCUUUUUGGCCAAAUAGGUAAGGCAUGAUACUUCUGAUAUCAAAAUUCUAGGUUCGAUUCCUAGAAGAGGUU
rnacentral:tRNA from 1 species